UACGUAGGGGGCAAGCGUUAUCCGGAUUUACUGGGUGUAAAGGGAGCGUAGACGGAAGAUCAAGUCAGGUGUGAAAGGCAUGGGCUCAACCCGUGGACUGCACUUGAAACUGGUCAUCUCGAGUGUCGGAGGGGCAGGCGGAAUUCCUGGUGUAGCGGUGAAAUGCGUAGAUAUCAGGAAGAACACCGGUGGCGAAGGCGGCCUGCUGGACGAUUACUGACGUUGAGGCUCGAAGGCGUGGGGAGCAAACAGGAUUAGAUACCCUGGUA
rnacentral:rRNA from 1 species